CCUACGGGCGGCAGCAGUGAGGAAUAUUGCACAAUGGGCGAAACCCUGAUGCAGCAACGCCGCGUGAGCGAUGAAGGCUUUCGGGUCGUAAAGCUCUGUCCUCAAGGAAGAUAAUGACGGUACUUGAGGAAGAAGCCCCAGCUAACUACGUACCCGCAGCCGCGGUAAUACGUAGGGGGCUAGCGUUUUCCGGAAUUACUGGGCGUAAAGGGUGCGUCGGUGGGUUCUUCAGUCGGAGGUGAAAGGCUACGGCCAAACCGUAGUAAGCCUUUGAAACUGGGGAACUUGAGUGCAGGAGAGGAGAGUGGAAUUCCUAGUGUAGCGGUGAAAUGCGUAGAUAUUAGGAGGAACACCAGUUGCGAAGGCGGCUCUCUGGACUGUAACUGACACUGAGGCACGAAAGCGUGGGGAGCAAACAGGAUUAGAUACCCCGGUAGUC
rnacentral:rRNA from 1 species